GACAGAGGGUGCAAGCGUUAAUCGGAAUUACUGGGCGUAAAGUGUGCGCAGGCGGCAGAGCAAGUCGAGUGUGAAAGCCCCGGGCUUAACUUGGGAAUUGCGCUCGAAACUACUUUGCUGGAGUGUGGCAGAGGAAGGUGGAAUUCCACGUGUAGCGGUGAAAUGCGUAGAGAUGUGGAGGAACACCAAUGGCGAAGGCAGCCUUCUGGGCCAACACUGACGCUCAUGCACGAAAGCGUGGGGAGCAAACAGG
rnacentral:rRNA from 1 species